AAUGAUAUGAUAUAGGCCCACUGUGGGAAC
rnacentral:sRNA from 1 species